rnacentral:lncRNA from 1 species
UAUUGCUUUUUUUUUUUUUUAACUUCAAAGCUUUGUUAAGAAGCAGUUACCAAUUUAUUUCUACAGAGGGAAUCUGAUUUUGGUUGGUGUGAGGGGGCCCAAUCUGAGCAAUCCUUUCACCUGGGUUGGUACGCGCUCCCAGCAUUAUACCUACUCAUGGCACAUGCGCCACUACCCAGGUGCUGGUUGUUCCUUGACAAACCACAUUGUGUUAUUUAUUUUGUUGUUGUUGUUCUUCAGAUUUCUUAGGACCCGAAGCAGAAAUAUCCCUUACCUGGGAAGAACUGUGAUUCAGACUCCUCCAGUCCUGGAGACCAUAUGUGGUCUCUGAAAAGCUCCAAGUAAGAAUAGGAUGCCAGGGGAGCCCUCCGUCUAACAGGGCCAGCGGGCAGCAGAGUCCUCCUCAGGAGUCAGGAGCCUUUCGCCUCUUUUGUGAGGAUGUCCCGCAGUCUGUCAUAUGUUCAUCUCCCUGAGAACUUGACAGGGUCAUGAGAUAGGGAUAUUUUCCUUGUUCCUUGUUCUCCAAGUCCCUGGAAAGAAAAGAAAUAGAUUUCUCAAUUUGUAAAAAUCUUAAACUGGGAUUAAUUUUCAAAUAGAAGAGAUACAUUCCUCCCUGCUUUCUCCCUCCCUCCCUUCCUUCUUUAUCUUCUUCUGCAGCACGGAAGACCCAUGUGGUCACAUAGAUCACCUUCCAUACUACCCAAAGCAAAAAGACAAAGUAUCACAGCAGCCAUAUUCACAGGAAAACAUCCACAGCAAUUGGGCCUCCUUGUUCUAAAGAGUAGCUGCUCCAACGUCAAAAUGAAAAUUACAACCUCCAAAUUAAUAGAGUGCCGCUCCAAGGCCUGGAGAAUGGGAUCCAGACGUACCUUCUAUCGGGAUGGAAAAGAUUUAAUCAAGCUGCACUAUUUAUUGAACACAGACUUACUAAGCAUCAACUACUGAAAACCAUAUGCAUGCCCUUUAAAAACUGAUAAUUCUCUGCUGGUCUCCCCUUUACAUCUUGCAAUUAUAUUCCAGGCAAAAUACUUGAACAGCCAAGUCAGAGGGUUGCCCCAUAACUCCGCUUCAGCGAGGUGUAAUAGAAAGGUCUGGGGCUGUUGAAAGGGACAGGCUGGAGAUAACAUUCAGGUGGAAGGAAAUCUACUCAUUACUUUCGUUAGAAAUGGAGGUGGAACCACCACGUGUAGAGGGUAGCGGAGCCUUGUGCUUCUGUGCAAACUGGAAGAACCACUCUCUUCCCUUUCCUGCACCACCUCCCCCAACCAACCAGCAUAACCCUCUUCCUAUUUUGGAGGAUUGUUACAGAGGAAAGCGACAGUUUUCCUCCAAGAGGUGGCAUCUCUCUGGAAACCAGCCUGGUGGACAAAGCGGUAGUGAUGCGAG